rnacentral:snoRNA from 1 species
AAGAUCAUACUUCUACAGGAUCAUUUCUGUAGUAGAUCUUCACAAAAUCCGGCUACAACAGUCGAAUACCUUAAACCACGAUGAGGAAGCGUGGCGUUCUCCCCUGAGCGUGAGGCAGUUUUGGAAGUUCAGUAAUGCGAACUUCCAAAACAUCGAUGACCGUCAGCUUUCCCUUACCAGGGAAGGCGUGGGGAGUACGCUUUCUGAGUGGU